GUGCUUGCUUUAGCAUUACACAUACUAAAAUUAGAAUGAUGCAAAAAUUAGUAAAGCCCCUGCUCAAGAAUGACAUGCAAAUUUGUGAAACUCUUUGUAUUUUU